rnacentral:rRNA from 1 species
GACAGAGGAGCCAAGCGUUGUCCGGAUUGACUGGGCGUAAAGCGCACGCAGGCGGAUGCGCGCGUGGGGUGUGAAAUCUGGCCGCUUAACGGCCAGGCGCCAUCCCAUACGGCGCGACUGGAGGGCUGCAGAGGUCGAUGGAAUUGCCGGUGUAGUGGUGAAAUGCGUAGAGAUCGGCAGGAACACCCAGGGGGAAACCAGUCGACUGGGCAGCACCUGACGCUGAGGUGCGAGAGCGUGGGGAGCGAACCGG